rnacentral:rRNA from 1 species
AUUGAACGCUGGCGGCAUGCUUUACACAUGCAAGUCGAACGGUAACAAGUCUUCGGAUGCUGACGAGUGGCGAACGGGUGAGUAAUGCAUCGGAACGUGCCCAGUCGUGGGGGAUAACGCAGCGAAAGCUGCGCUAAUACCGCAUACGAGCUAUGGAUGAAAGCGGGGGACCGUAAGGCCUCGCGCGAUUGGAGCGGCCGAUGUCAGAUUAGGUAGUUGGUGGGGUAAAGGCCCACCAAGCCAACGAUCUGUAGCUGGUCUGAGAGGACGACCAGCCACACUGGGACUGAGACACGGCCCAGACUCCUACGGGAGGCAGCAGUGGGGAAUUUUGGACAAUGGGCGCAAGCCUGAUCCAGCAAUGCCGCGUGCAGGAAGAAGGCCUUCGGGUUGUAAACUGCUUUUGUACGGAACGAAACGGCUCUCUCUAAUACAGAGGGCUAAUGACGGUACCGUAAGAAUAAGCACCGGCUAACUACGUGCCAGCAGCCGCAGUAA